rnacentral:misc_RNA from 1 species
UAAGGAGGGCUGCCAGACGUG